rnacentral:rRNA from 1 species
UGGGGAAUAUUGCACAAUGGGCGAAAGCCUGAUGCAGCGACGCCGCGUGAGGGAUGACGGCCUUCGGGUUGUAAACCUCUUUCAGCAGGGACGAAGCGCAAGUGACGGUACCUGCAGAAGAAGCACCGGCUAACUACGUGCCAGCAGCCGCGGUAAUACGUAGGGUGCAAGCGUUGUCCGGAAUUACUGGGCGUAAAGAGUUCGUAGGCGGUUUGUCGCGUCGUUUGUGAAAACCAGCAGCUCAACUGCUGGCUUGCAGGCGAUACGGGCAGACUUGAGUACUGCAGGGGAGACUGGAAGUCCUGGUGUAGCGGUGAAAUGCGCAGAUAUCAGGAGGAACACCGGUGGAGAAGGCGGGUCUCUGGGCAGUAACUGACGCUGAGGAACGAAAGCGUGGGUAGCGAACAGG